rnacentral:rRNA from 1 species
GACGAACGCUGGCGGCGUGCUUAACACAUGCAAGUCGAACGGAAAGGCCCUGCUUUUGUGGGGUGCUCGAGUGGCGAACGGGUGAGUAACACGUGAGUAACCUGCCCUUGACUUUGGGAUAAACUUCAGGAAACUGGGGCUAAUACCGGAUAGGAGCUCCUGCUGCAUGGUGGGGGUUGGAAAGUUUCGGCGGGUGGGGAUGGACUCGCGGCUUAUCAGCUUGUUGGUGGGGUAGUGGCUUACCAAGGCUUUGACGGGUAGCCGGCAUGAGAGGGUGACCGGCCACAUUGGGACUGAGAUACGGCCCAGACUCCUACGGGAGGCAGCAGUGGGGAAUAUUGCACAAUGGGCGGAAGCCUGAUGCAGCAACGCCGCGUGCGGGAUGACGGCCUUCGGGUUGUAAACCGCUUUCGCCUGUGACGAAGCGUGAGUGACGGUAAUGGGUAAAGAAGCACCGGCUAACUACGUG